AAGGUAAAUAUCCCGAUGGACUUGGGAACCAAAACUCAAUAGUCCUGUUUCAAUGAGAGAAAGUGAAAAACCAACGCAGCAGAGAGGAGUCACGAAUAAAUCUCCAAGAACUCCUUGGCGUGGCCACUUCAGGACCCUUUCCUGCAGAGCAUGAAGCAAAUCGAGGUGCUGCUGGACAAGAGAUGACGAGGAGAUGCUGCUGGCUUAGAAUCUCUCAUGUGGAAGGAAUACUACACCAAAAGACAUGCCAGGGACACUGAAGUUCUCAGAGACUAUCUUCAUUUUUUUAUCUGCGGUCACAGAAUUCCCCGACUGGAAACAAUAAACGACUUACCUUAAAUUUUAAUCAAUCUGAAAAGCAAAGGCAAUGAACACAUGGAUACCUUCUCUCUUUGGAAUUCCUCUUUCCAUCUGACCCUUGGAAUGUUGCC